GACGAACGCUGGCGGCGUGCUUAACACAUGCAAGUCGAACGCGACCUUCCGAGCUAGCGGCUCGGGGGUAGGUAACGAGUGGGAACCAGUACUUGGGUUAGCAACCAUUACCUGAAAGGGGAGCUCAUACAGGUAAAUCUCGUAGGACCAAAGAGUUAUCGCCUAAGGAUGGGGCCGCGCAGGAUUAGACAGUUGGUAGGGUAAAAGCCAACCAAGGCGCCGAUCCAUAGCUGGUCUGAGAGGAUGAACAGCCACACUGGGACUGAGACACGGCCCAGACUCCUACGGGAGGCAGCAGUGGGGAAUAUUGGACAAUGGGCGAAAGCCUGAUCCAGCAAUGCCGCGUGAGUGAAGAAGGCCUUAGGGUCGUAAAGCUCUUUUACACGGGAUGAUAAUGACAGUACCGUGAGAAUAAGCUCCGGCUAACUCCGUG
rnacentral:rRNA from 1 species